rnacentral:lncRNA from 1 species
GUACUCAUCACCUCCUCCUCCCAAGAAGCCCUAUUAUUAUCACUCUCCUCCACCACCUUCACCUCCUCCACCUAAGCCAUACUACUAUCAUUCACCACCACCACCUUCACCUCCUCCACCCAAGCCAUACUACUAUCACUCACCACCACCACCUUCACCUCCUCCACCUAAACCAUACUACUAUCACUCACCACCACCACCUUCACCUCCUCCACCUAAACCAUACUACUAUCACUCACCACCACCACCUUCACCUCCUCCACCUAAACCAUACUACUAUCACUCACCACCACCACCUUCACCUCCUCCACCUAAGUCAUAUUACUAUCACUCACCACCACCACCACCCAAAAAGAAGCCAUACUACUACCAUUCUCCCCCACCACCUUCACCACCUCCUCCUAAGCCAUACUACUAUCACUCUCCCCCACCGCCUUCACCUCCUCCACCUACGCCAUACUACUAUCAUUCUCCCCCACCACCCUCACCACCUCCACCUAAGCCAUACUACUACCAUUCACCACCACCCCCACCGAAGAAGAAGCCUUACUACUACCACUCUCCACCACCACCUUCACCUCCUCCUCCAAAGAAGCCAUACUACUACCACUCCCCACCUCCUCCCAAGAAGCCCUACAAAUAUUCAUCUCCCCCACCUCCAGUGCACC